GGCGUGACGACGAGGCACUACGGUGCUGAAGCAACAAAUGCCCUGCUUCCAGGAAAAGCCUCUAAGCAUCAGGUAACAUCAAAUCGUACCCCAAACCGACACAGGUGGUCAGGUAGAGAAUACCAAGGCGCUUGAGAGAACUCGGGUGAAGGAACUAGGCAAAAUGGUGCCGUAACUUCGGGAGAAGGCACGCUGACACGUAGGUGAAGUGAUUUACUCAUGGAGCUGAAGUCAGUCGAAGAUACCAGCUGGCUGCAACUGUUUAUUAAAAACACAGCACUGUGCAAACACGAAAGUGGACGUAUACGGUGUGACGCCUGCCCGGUGCCGGAAGGUUAAUUGAUGGGGUCAGCGCAAGCGAAGCUCCUGAUCGAAGCCCCGGUAAACGGCGGCCGUAACUAUAACGGUCCUAAGGUAGCGAAAUUCCUUGUCGGGUAAGUUCCGACCUGCACGAAUGGCGUAAUGAUGGCCAGGCUGUCUCCACCCGAGACUCAGUGAAAUUGAACUCGCUGUGAAGAUGCAGUGUACCCGCGGCAAGACGGAAAGACCCCGUGAACCUUUACUAUAGCUUGACACUGAACAUUGAGCCUUGAUGUGUAGGAUAGGUGGGAGGCUUUGAAGUGUGGACGCCAGUCUGCAUGGAGCCGACCUUGAAAUACCACCCUUUAAUGUUUGAUGUUCUAACGUGGACCCGUUACCCGGGUUGCGGACAGUGUCUGGUGGGUAGUUUGACUGGGGCGGUCUCCUCCUAAAGAGUAACGGAGGAGCACGAAGGUUGGCUAAUCCUGGUCGGACAUCAGGAGGUUAGUGCAAUGGCAUAAGCCAGCUUGACUGCGAGCGUGACGGCGCGAGCAGGUGCGAAAGCAGGUCAUAGUGAUCCGGUGGUUCUGAAUGGAAGGGCCAUCGCUCAACGGAUAAAAGGUACUCCGGGGAUAACAGGCUGAUACCGCCCAAGAGUUCAUAUCGACGGCGGUGUUUGGCACCUCGAUGUCGGCUCAUCACAUCCUGGGGCUGAAGUAGGUCCCAAGGGUAUGGCUGUUCGCCAUUUAAAGUGGUACGCGAGCUGGGUUUAGAACGUCGUGAGACAGUUCGGUCCCUAUCUGCCGUGGGCGCUGGAGAACUGAGGGGGGCUGCUCCUAGUACGAGAGGACCGGAGUGGACGCAUCACUGGUGUUCGGGUUGUCAUGCCAAUGGCACUGCCCGGUAGCUAAAUGCGGAAGAGAUAAGUGCUGAAAGCAUCUAAGCACGAAACUUGCCCCGAGAUGAGUUCUCCCUGAGACUUAAAGUCUCCUGAAGGAACGUUGAAGACGACGACGUUG
rnacentral:rRNA from 1 species